GCGUGGAUAAUCCUGACGGGUCUUUUUCAAGAUCUCUCUCUCUCUCUCUAUCUCUCUCUCUCUCUCUCUCUAUAUAUAUAUAUAGAGAGAGAGAGAGAGAGAGAGAGAGAGAGAGAGAGAUAUCUUGAAAUAGACCCGUCAAGGUCUCCACG
rnacentral:miRNA from 1 species